rnacentral:pre_miRNA from 1 species
AGUUGGUUAAGAUUCUCUUUUUGUAGAUCUUGUCAAAAUGAGGAUCCUAGCCAUAGA